rnacentral:rRNA from 1 species
UACGUAGGGUGCAAGCGUUAAUCGGAAUUACUGGGCGUAAAGCGUGCGCAGGCGGUUAUGCAAGACAGAUGUGAAAUCCCCGGGCUCAACCUGGGAACUGCAUUUGUGACUGCAUAGCUAGAGUACGGUAGAGGGGGAUGGAAUUCCGCGUGUAGCAGUGAAAUGCGUAGAUAUCAGGAGGAACACCGGUGGCGAAGGCGGAUCUCUGGGCCUGUUCUGACGCUGAGGCGCGAAAGCUAGGGGAGCGAACAGG